GCUGUAUCGUGAUAUUUAUGGCAAUGAAACAAAAAUUUGCACAAUGUUUCGUGCAUUCCUGACGGUCUCUCCCCUCCCGACCCUCAAUCUUUUGAUACUCGGUCAAAAUAAUUAAUCACAAGCACACCGGUAAUUUUAUCCGGCAUCAACAAGCGUACACGAAAUACACGAGAAGUCUUCCGUUUAUUAUUAGGCUUCGUAUAUUAUUCGCAAUCUAUAGUUGUAAAUUGACAGUGGAUAUCUUUUCAUUAUAAAUUUAGCUUUUGCAUGUAUCUAGCGUAGUGGAAAAAUUUACUUUUAAAAAUAAUUAUAUAGGAUUUCUUUCAUUCUUCUGACAGAAUUUGCUUUUUUUUAUUGUUGCGAUUUUACAGAUUAGAAAUUAUCAUCAUUGUUAGAAUGUACUCUAUGCUUUAAUAUAUUUUGCUUCUCUUAUAUCUUGCGAAUUUGUAUUAUUUUUUUUUUUUUUUUUCGUUUAUGUAAUCUUUUUCUGUCUUUCUUAUUUAUUUCAACCAGUUUGUAGGGUUCGACCUAUACAGGAAUGCAAUCGAUAGAGUUAUGCAACAUCGAGAAUUCAACAAAUCGCAGCAUUAAGUGACCCGAACUUUUAACGCGCGCGACCGUUAUACGAGAUAUUGAUUUGUCCCGUGGGUAAUCGAUGACGAGGCGCGAAUUUCUCGACGUUGCAUGAUCAAAUAGACGACAGUGAGGUGACAAGAGCGCUUUUUUUUUUAUCGAAAAUCUUUCGACGAAUCAAGUUUAACGGAGAAUUAUUCAUAUCUUAUUUCAACGUUUAAGGAGUUGCUAAUUUUCUUUCCACUUGAUUUGUCACGUUACGAUGUAAAAAAUGCUCUCGUGAACUCAAUAUGUAUAUAAAAUACGAGCAAAAGGUCGAAUCAGAUUUAUCGUAAAUCGAAUUCAACUUUUUGUUGCAGGCUUGCAGAUUCCUUCGAGUAAAGAAAGGAUACACAGCUAAUUAAAAAUAUUAAGGCGAUCCGUACAAAGUAAAUAUUUAGUUUAUUUUCUCGUUGUUAAAGAAGAUAUCCAAAGGAUGGAUUUUUCUAAAACACCUUGUACAUCCGUGAUCAAUGACUAGGUAUCGAAACAGUUUGAUAAAAAGUUAAAAUAACGAUUAAAUUCGUUCGAAUCGUUGAUCAAACAAUGAAUGGAAUCCAUUUUUUUACUCGAGAAGGAUUAAUAUUCCAUCGGGAAGGACCGAUGAUAUUCUAUAGAAAAAAAAAAGAAUGAAGAAACGUAGCAAGUCCACAUAAACAACAUGUCACUAAACUAUUGAGAGGCUUGAGAUUCAUCUUCCCAAAUUGUCUUUCUCCGAUGAAUCGUUCGAUGUGUUUAUCGUGUGCUACAAUCUACGUAUGAUAAAUGACACCUAAUGUGAAAAACCGUGCGUACCAUCGGUUUGAUUUCGUCGCGAAUCUGGCCGGAAUCUGCCCAACUAUUAUUUAUUUGCAUUUCAUUUUCUCUGGUUUAGUACUUUAGCUUUCGGCAUCUA